rnacentral:misc_RNA from 1 species
UCACUGCAGGUGGGGACGUAGCCACA